GCAGACACAUUCCAGCAAAUCAGCAGCAGACCCUCCCUCCCAGACCCUCCCACUUCCUGGACAGCUCACUAAGAAUGCAGCUUCAAAAUGGAUGCUGUCCAGGAGUUGGGAGGGCCUGGGAGGGAGGAUCUGCUGCUGAUUGGCUGGAAUGUGUCU
rnacentral:miRNA from 1 species